rnacentral:misc_RNA from 1 species
GGAAGGAUCAUCCCAUCCACAAAAAAACCCUAACCGUUUGAAUUUACCAGUAUGAGAACGCGAGCGCGGUGGUGCGUGCUUGUGUUCAUAUGCUGGUCUACCAUCGAAAGGUGGUAGAUAACAAGGCAAGCUCUACUUUGUACAUUGUAUCCAAAAACUCUUAGCGGUGGAUACCUCGGCUACCAUAACGAUGAAGAACGCAGCGAAACGCGAUAUUAAUUGCGAAUUGCAGAUUCAGUGAAUCAUCGUAACUUUGAACGCACUCUGCAGCUUGGGGAAGUCCUCAGGCUACGCCUCUUUGAGUAUCGUACCCAAACUCAAUCUUGCAACAAUUGAGAGUGGUGGCGAACAUGACUCUUGAAAUUUGAAUCCCUGUAUAUUAUGGUCAAGAAUAAUUCUUGUUGCUUGAUAAUUCGCUUGGUUGUUGAUGUCAAGUCGAUGUGGCGAUCACUUACAACAAUGACAUAAUGGCAUGUUACGAGUGAUUGGGACUGUUUCAUGAUUGGGGUUUUCAAGUGCAUUGUGGGAAAUGCACAAUUUUAUGGGAAGAUCUCAAAUGAGGCGAGAUAACCCCCUGAGCUUAAGCAUAUUCUUAAGGGGAGGAAAAGAAACUAACUAGGAUUCCCUUAGUAACGGCGAGUGAACCGGGAAGAGCUCAAACCUGAAUCUCGGUUGGUUUCCUUCCGAGAGUUGUGGGUUAGGGAGGCACACUCAGCGCAUGGCUUCGGUCUAAGUCUGCUAGAAAGCAGCGUCGUGGAGGGUGAGAACCCCGUCUUGGGCUGGAAGACCGGCGUGUACGAGUGUGUCUUUGAGAGUCGGGUUGUUUGGGAGUACAGCCUUAAAUGGGUGGUAAAUUCCAUCUAAAGCUAAAUAUAUAUGGUAGACCGAUAGCAAACAAGUACCGUAAGGGAAAGGUGAAAAGGACUUUGAAAAGAGAGUCAAAAGUACUUGAAACUGCUAAGAGUAAAGGGAUAAGGACUGUUGGAUCGGGUCACUGCAUUAUUCUCCGACUGCUGGCCCAUUGCGCAACGAGUCGAUUCGAUCUUUUGGGUCGGUCAUUGCGUGUAUGGUAAAGGCGAUUGUUGAAGGUAUGUAGUGCGAGCAGUGUCAGAAUGGGUUGGCUUUGUGAGAAAGGGUGCAGUUGAAGGUAGAGUAUGAUCAAACCUGGUUUGUGAUUCUCGAUUGCCUCUGCAAACGAAUCUCAGAGCUGACUGAGGCGUAAGCGAUUCUGACCUUAGAUGGUCCUUAUCCACCCGUCUUGAAACACGGACCAAGGAGUCUAACGUGCACGCGAGUCUUUGGGUGUCAAACCCCAAGGCGAAAUGAAAGUGAAGAGAUGUCUCGCGCAUCUUGAGGUGUGAAUCCUCGCAAGAGGAGGCAACAUCGCCCGGCCACUCCAUUAGUGUGUGGUUCGAGGUCGAGCGUGUACGCGAGGACCCGAAAGAUGGUGAACUAUGCCUGGGCAGGGUGAAGCCAGGGGAAACUCUGGUGGAAGCUCGUAGCGAUACUGACGUGCAAAUCGUUCGUCGGACCUGGGUAUAGGGGCGAAAGACUAAUCGAACCGUCUAGUAGCUGGUUCCCUC